rnacentral:misc_RNA from 1 species
GGACGGCAACACGAUCCUCGUGGGCAAUCCAGGGCCGAACGCGGUGGCGUUCAGUAUCUUCCGGUCCCUGCCCUACAAAGCCGAUCAGUUACAGCCGGUCAGCAACGCGAUCCGGAUUCCCAAUAUCGUGUCGGCGCAUCCCUCGAGCGGGAUCAAGUCGAUCAAGGAACUGAUCACCUACCUCAAGGCCAAUCCGGACAAGCUGAACUACGGGACGUCGGGGGUCGGACAAAGCCCGCACCUCACGGCCGUCUGGUUCAUGCAAUUGACCGGCGUGAAGAUGA